CCUACGGGAGGCAGCAGUGAGGAAUAUUGGUCAAUGGACGAGAGCCUGAACCAGCCAAGUAGCGUGAAGGAUGACUGCCCUAUGGGUUGUAAACUUCUUUUAUAUGGGAAUAAAGCGAUCCACGUGUGCGUUUUUGUAUGUACUAUAUGAAUAAGGAUCGGCUAACUCCGUGCCAGCAGCCGCGGUAAUACGGAGGAUCCGAGCGUUAUCCGGAUUUUUUGGGUUUAAAGGGAGCGUAGGUGGGUUGUUAAGUCAGUUGUGAAAGUUUGCGGCUCAACCGUAAAAUUGCAGUUGAUACUGGCAGUCUUGAGUACAGUAGAGGUGGGCGGAAUGCGUGGUGUAGCGGUGAAAUGCUUAGAUAUCACGAAGAACUCCGAUUGCGAAGGCAGCCUACUAGACUGCCACUGACACUGAGGCUCGAAAGUGUGGGUAUCAAACAGGAUUAGAUACCCUUGUAGUC
rnacentral:rRNA from 1 species